ACUCCUACGGGAGGCAGCAGUGGGAAUAUUGCACAAUGGGGGAAACCCUGAUGCAGCCAUGCCGCGUGUGUGAAGAAGGCCUUCGGGUUGUAAAGACACUUUUCAGUAGGGAGGAAGGUAGUGUAGUUAACACCUGCAUUAUUUGACGUUACCUACAGAAGAAGCACCGGCUAACUCCGUGCCAGCAGCCGCGGUAAUACGGAGGGUGCGAGCGUUAAUCGGAAUUACUGGGCGUAAAGCGCAUGCAGGCGGCCUGUUAAGUCAGAUGUGAAAGCCCGGGGCUUAACCUCGGAAUUGCAUUUGAAACUGGCAGGCUAGAGUCUUGUAGAGGGGGUGAGAAUUGUCAGGUGUAGCGGUGAAAUGCGUAGAGAUCUGAAGGAACACCGGUGGCGAAGGCGACCACCUGGCCAAUAACUGACACUGAGACGCGAAGGCGUGGGUAG
rnacentral:rRNA from 1 species